rnacentral:tRNA from 1 species
GGAGAGAUGGCUGAGCGGUCGAAAGCGGCGGUCUUGAAAACCGUUAUCUCGUUAAUCCGGGAUCGUGGGUUCGAAUCCCACUCUCUCCUCCA